GGGCCUGUAGCUCAGCGGUUAGAGCGUCCGGCUCAUAACCGGGGGGUCGGUGGUUCGAAUCCACCCGGGCCCACCA
rnacentral:tRNA from 1 species